UACGUAGGGGGCAAGCGUUGUCCGGAUUUAUUGGGCGUAAAGAGCGUGUAGGCGGCCUGACAGGUCUGCUGUGAAAACUCGAGGCUCAACCUCGAGAUGUCGGCGGAAACCGUCUGGCUAGAGUCCGGAAGAGGAGAGUGGAAUUCCUGGUGUAGCGGUGAAAUGCGCAGAUAUCGGGAGGAACACCAGUAGCGAAGGCGACACUCUGGGCCGGUACUGACGCUGAGGAGCGAAAGCGUGGGGAGCAAACAGG
rnacentral:rRNA from 1 species